rnacentral:rRNA from 1 species
UACGUAGGGGGCUAGCGUUGUCCGGAAUCAUUGGGCGUAAAGCGCGUGUAGGCGGUCCGGUAAGUCCGCUGUGAAAGGCGGGGGCUCAACCCUCGAAUGCCGGUGGAUACUGUCGGGCUAGAGUGCGGAAGAGGCGAGUGGAAUUCCUGGUGUAGCGGUGAAAUGCGCAGAUAUCAGGAGGAACACCAAUUGCGAAGGCAGCUCGCUGGGACGUUACUGACGCUGAGACGCGAAAGCGUGGGGAGCAAACAGG